rnacentral:rRNA from 1 species
CCAGACUCCUACGGGAGGCAGCAGUGGGGAAUAUUGCACAAUGGGGGAAACCCUGAUGCAGCGACGCCGCGUGAGUGAAGAAGUAUUUCGGUAUGUAAAGCUCUGUCAGCAGGGAAGAAAAUGACGGUACCUGACCAAGAAGCCCCGGCUAACUACGUGCCAGCAGCCGCGGUAAUACGUAGGGGGCAAGCGUUAUCCGGAUUUACUGGGUGUAAAGGGAGCGUAGACGGCAGGGCAAGUCUGGAGUGAAAGGCGGGGGCUCAACCCCCGGACUGCUCUGGAAACUGCCAGGCUGGAGUGCAGGAGAGGUAAGUGGAAUUCCUAGUGUAGCGGUGAAAUGCGUAGAUAUUAGGAGGAACACCAGUGGCGAAGGCGGCUUACUGGACUGUAACUGACGUUGAGGCUCGAAAGCGUGGGGAGCAAACAGGAUUAGAUACCCUCGUAAA